rnacentral:lncRNA from 1 species
AUGAACGAGCACACGGUCGGAUUUAAACGCGUUUGCUCUCGGUACAGACACAGAACCGGAACUUCCUCCGGCUGUUCUCCACGAUGUCAGAGUGUAUCACAUGAAGCCGGUCAGUGGGGUGUGUGGAGAGGCUCGGACCGUUUCAAACGACCCCUGACCUUUACUGACCGGCCCUGGAUGCUGGAAGCAUGGAUGUCCACGUGCACAGCGGCCGGACGCUCCACUGCUGUCCAAUUUCCAAGAGAUGAUUAUACCCCCGGAGACUCCUUUUGAAGUGAAGCCGAACCGUGACCUGGACGUCUCAGACGGGCCGCACGAGGACUUUAGACACCUGCCACCCGCAGGUUCAGUUCCCAGUCCAGUAGUAAUCACCAGCAAGAUCGCCGAGCACCAGGGCGCAUUCCCCACUCGAUCGCCGCCGAAGCCGUCAGCGUCAGGAGCGCCGGGCGCAGACGCUCGCUAACCUCUCCGGCCCGGCGCACCCUUUAGAUGGUGGAGAACCGGCCUGCGUGCGCAACCUUCCCACGCGGAGCAUUUCGUUUCAAAAUC